UACGGGGGGGGCAAGCGUUGUUCGGAAUUACUGGGCGUAAAGGGCUCGUAGGCGGCCAACUAAGUCAGACGUGAAAUCCCUCGGCUUAACCGGGGAACUGCGUCUGAUACUGGAUGGCUUGAGGUUGGGAGAGGGAUGCGGAAUUCCAGGUGUAGCGGUGAAAUGCGUAGAUAUCUGGAGGAACACCAGAGGCGAAGGCGGCGACCUGGACAAGUACUGACACUCAACUACGAAAGCGUGGGGAGCAAACAGG
rnacentral:rRNA from 1 species